GAUGAACGCUGGCGGCGUGCUUAACACAUGCAAGUCGAACGGAAAGGCCCAAGCUUGCUUGGGUACUCGAGUGGCGAACGGGUGAGUAACACGUGGGUGAUCUGCCCCGCACUUCGGGAUAAGCCUGGGAAACUGGGUCUAAUACCGGAUAGGACCACUUCUUGGAGGUUGUGGUGGAAAGUUUUUUCGGUGUGGGAUGAGCUCGCGGCCUAUCAGCUUGUUGGUGGGGUAAUGGCCUACCAAGGCGUCGACGGGUAGCCGGCCUGAGAGGGUGUACGGCCACAUUGGGACUGAGAUACGGCCCAGACUCCUACGGGAGGCAGCAGUGGGGAAUAUUGCACAAUGGGCGCAAGCCUGAUGCAGCGACGCCGCGUGGGGGAUGACGGCCUUCGGGUUGUAAACUCCUUUCGCUAGGGACGAAGCGCAAGUGACGGUACCUAGAGAAGAAGCACCGGCUAACUACGUG
rnacentral:rRNA from 1 species